GUGUAAAAGUUUGGCAGCACCGAACAAACUUUAUUAGCUGUCUGUCAAAAAGUUUGCUUUUGCUUUUUUAUUUAAAAAAUUAAAAGUUAAUAAAACAAAAAGCUCUAAUAAAAAUGAGAGAAAAAACAAACAAAAAAAAUCGAAUUGUUCCUGUUUUACCUAUGAUGCCCAAGGAGAUGACGAAGAGAGAUCGCUGCCACACAUCGACCACGGUUUCCAUUCCAAACUACCACCAGGAAUUGUACCACAUAGUUUGUCCACUGGAAGGAAGGUGCAUCAGCCAUGACACCACUUGAACACAAAAAAAAAACCUGAAGAGAAAAAUAGAAACGGAAGAACAAAAACAGAUGAUCAUCUUGUCGGAGGAUUUUUAAAGGUUUUUUUUACGCGCUGGACGUGUCAUCGAAAGGGCUCUAUUUGAGAAUGUCGACAUUUACACAGACUACAUAUUGGAGGUGGUGAUAAUGAAGAGUCAAACAAUGAGAGGACACAGGUUGCCAUUGAAUUGAGCUUUCUACGAAGACCGAUGGUCUAAAAAUCGAUGCAUCACUGCAAUGGAUUGGUCAACACAUUUUCCUAAACUGGUUGUUGCUUCAUAUCCAAAUAAUGAGGAGAGUCCCAAUGAACAAGAUAGUAUUGUAAUGGCCUGGAACACAAAAUAUAAAAAACAAACACCCGAAGAUGAAUUCCAUUGUCAGAGUGCCGUUAUGUCAACAUGCUUUGCUAAAUUCAAUCAGAAUAUUAUACUCGGUGGAACGUAUUCCGGUCAGAUUGUAUUAUGGGAUAAUCGAGUGUAAAAGCGCACACCCAUCCAGAGGACACCUCUAAGUGCAACUUCACAUACGCAUCCAGUGUACUGUUUGCAAAUGGUUGGCACACAGAAUGCAGACAAUAUCGAUCUCAUCCGAUGGCCGCAAGAUACACUGAAAUUGCAGCAACGGCAAUCACUUGCAUGUCCUUUCUAUCUAAUGAGAUUUACAAUCUGGUUAUGGGUAGUGAAGAUGGCAGUGUUUAUUAUUCUUAUCGACAUGGAAUACGGUCGGGUGUGUCUGAAGUCUAUGAGAAGCAUUUGGGUCCUGUGACGGGAAUAUCAACUCAUCCAAAUCAAUCUACACCAGAUUUUGGUGAUUCGUUACUUACAUCGUCCAUUGAUUGGACAAUUAAGUUAUGGAGUCUUAGAACACUUAACCAUUAUAUUCAUUUGAAGAUAAUUCACCCCGACUUGUUCGCUUCUGUCGACGGCAGUGGUCGCCUUGAUUUAUGGAAUUUUAAUCAGGAUACCGAAGUGCCCUCAGCAUCUGUGAUUGUUUUUGUGAUUGUAUGAUAAUGAAAAUAAGAAAAAAAAUAUUUAUAUUUAAAUUAGUAACUACUUAUAAAAAAAAAAAUGUUAAAUAAAUAUAUAGUUACCUUGAA